UACGUAGGGACCAAGCGUUGUUCGGAUUUACUGGGCGUAAAGGGCGCGUAGGCGGCGUGGUAAGUCAGCUGUGAAAUCUCCGAGCUUAACUCGGAACGGUCAGCUGAUACUGCUGUGCUAGAGUACAGAAAGGGCAAUCGGAAUUCUUGGUGUAGCGGUGAAAUGCGUAGAUAUCAAGAGGAACACCUGAGGCGAAGGCGGGUUGCUAGGCUGAUACUGACGCUGAGGCGCGAAAGCUAGGGGAGCAAACAGG
rnacentral:rRNA from 1 species